rnacentral:rRNA from 1 species
GCCUCAGUAACGGCGAGUGAAGCGGCAAGAGCUCAAAUUUGAAAUCUGGCCCCUCCGGGGUCCGAGUUGUAAUUUGUAGAGGAUGCUUCGGGUGCGGCCCCCGUCUAAGUGCUCUGGAACGGGCCAUCGGAGAGGGUGAGAAUCCCGUCUGGGACGGGGUGUCCGCGUCCAUGUGAAGCUCCUUCGACGAGUCGAGUUGUUUGGGAAUGCAGCUCUAAAUGGGUGGUAAAUUUCAUCUAAAGCUAAAUACUGGCCGGAGACCGAUAGCGCACAAGUAGAGUGAUCGAAAGAUGAAAAGCACUUUGAAAAGAGAGUUAAACAGCACGUGAAAUUGUUGAAAGGGAAGCGCUUGCGACCAGACUCGCUUCCGGGGUUCAGCCGGCUUUCGGGCCGGUGUACUUCCCCGGGGGCGGGCCAGCGUCGGUUUGGGCGGCCGGUCAAAGGCCCCUGGAAUGUAACGCCUCUCGGGGCGCCUUAUAGCCAGGGGUGUCAUGCGGCCAGCCUGGACCGAGGAACGCGCUUCGGCACGGACGCUGGCAUAAUGGUCGUAAACGACCCGUCUUGAAACACGGACCAAGGAGUCUAACAUCUACGCGAGUGUUCGGGUGUCAAACCCGUGCGCGCAGUGAAAGCGAACGGAGGUGGGAGCCCCCUCGCGGGGCGCACCAUCGACCGAUCCUGAUGUCUUCGGAUGGAUUUGAGUAAGAGCGUAGCUGUGGGGACCCGAAAGAUGGUGAACUAUGCCUGAAUAGGGCGAAGCCAGAGGAAACUCUGGUGGAGGCUCGCAGCGGUUCUGACGUGCAAAUCGAUCGUCAAAUUUGGGUAUAGGGGCGAAAGACUAAU